AAUAAGUGUAGUUUUACACUGUUUAUAUCCAACGUUUAACCGUUCGUCUUAUUUAAAAAAAUUGUGAUUAAUAUUUUUUAUUAGAUGAUAAAACAUGAAUAUGUGUGGUUAACUUUUUUAUUUUUUAUAAAAUUUUUAAAUAAAACAGAUUAUCAAACGUUGGACACGGAUAUUAUGGCUUACACUUAUU
rnacentral:pre_miRNA from 1 species